UGUAAUUUGUAAUUAUAUUUAUUCAAUACUUUUCUUGAAUUUUUUUGCUAAGAAAUUUAUAUACAUUAUGAAAUUAUGAAAAAUGAGGGUAAUCAAGAUAUUAUUUUCCGUAAUUUUAAAGGUUUACUGAACUGUUUCGGAUUACUAAGUCCAUGUUCGAGGAAAUUAUGAAUCUCGUGGAAUCCGAUAUCCCUGAACCUUUGCGAAGGUCUUCUUAUCCAAAAGCUACACAAGUACUAGUGGUUUUGCGUUUUCUUGCAAUCGGAGACUAUCAAAGACCAGUAGGAGAAGACCUUUUGCUCGGAGUUUGCCAAAGUGGAGUCAGUAAUAUACUCGAGAAACUUCUACCUAUUCUUGAGAGGCGCCUUGGGUCUAAGUACAUUAAGUGGCCGACAACACGUGAAGAGCGACAAGUCUCUAAAGAAGGAUUUUAUGAAAAAUACGGAAUACCAUCAACAAUAGGUGUAAUAGAUGGCACACAGAUUGGCAUAACCUCUCCAACUCAGGAGCAUCUAUAUACCUAAAUAGAAAAGGAUUUCACAGUAUCAAUGCUUCACUAAUAUGUGAUCAUGAACAGAAAUUUAUUUAUGUUGAUGCCCGGCAUCCUGGAGCGACCCAUGAUGCAGCUAUUUGGGCUUUAUCUGAAGAACGAAAAUUUCUUUUCAACAUCAAUCGUACUCAACACGAAAGAUGUUGGAUCCUAGGUGACUCAGGUUAUCCGCUCGAACCAUGGUUGAUUACACCGUAUAGGAAUGCAAGAACGGAUGAGCAAAUAAGAUUUAACAACAAUUUCUCAAAAAUAAGAACGAUCAUUGAAAAUUCAAUUGGCGUUUUGAAGAACCGCUGGAGGGUACUUUUGACUUCUGAAAGAACACUUAGAUACAAACCCAUAAAGAUGGCACGCAUAAUCAAUUGCUGUGUAGCUCUUCAUAAUUUUUGUAAACUAGAAAACAUUCCAGACGUCGAAGGUGAUUUCGUGAUUAGUUAUGACGAGGAAGAUGAUAUUUUUCAAGAAUAUGGUCAAUCGGCCCUCCGAGAAGAAGGAGAAUACAACAGGGAACUUCUAAAAAGAUACAUAAUGUAAAUCUAAACUUCUUGUGAUUCUAUUAAUGAAGUUUAAGUUCUUGAAAAUCAAUUAAAUAAAAGCAAUACU